rnacentral:rRNA from 1 species
ACUCAAAUGAAUUGACGGGGACCCGCACAAACGGUGGAGCAUGUGGUUUAAUACGACGAUACGCGUGGAACCUCACCCAGACUUGACAUGUACUGGAAGUACUUAUGAAAGUAGGUACGCCCCUUAAAAGGCCGGUACACAGGUGUUGCAUGGCUGUCGUCAGCUCGUGUCGUGAGAUGUUGGGUUAAGUCCCGCAACGAGCGCAACCCUUAUCCUUAGUUGCUAAUCCGCAAGGAUGCACUCUAGGGAGACUGCCGCUGAUAAAGCGGAGGAAGGUGGGGAUGACGUCAAGUCAGUACGGCCCUUACGUCUGGGGCUACACACGUGCUACAAUGGCCGGCACAAAGGGCUGCGAUACCGCAAGGUGGAGCCAAUCCUAAAAACCGGUCUCAGUUCGGACUGUGGGCUGCAACUCGCCCACAUGAAGCCGGAAUCGUUAGUAACCCUAUAUCAGCCACGAUAGGGUGAAUACGUUCCCGGGUCUUGUACACACCGCCCGU